rnacentral:lncRNA from 1 species
UUAUAUUUAUAGUACUCACCACCUUAGAAUCUUUCUCCCAGUCGGAUUAGGACUCCUAAUGUAUGGUAGUUACCAUAACUUGGGUCCAACACAAUCUCCUUAAAAGGUGCAAGUAGAGUCCAAUCUCAUCACCACCUUUGGAGUUACCUUAUAUUCCUAUGAAUAGGUACCCGGACUCUGCACGCAGGAGAGCCCACUAUGCAAGCCCAAACGGUCCUAUAAUCUAGUCUGGGCUUCGGCCCAAAGAACUCGAAGACCCGACCCCAAACAUCACAAGACCGGGUUCAGCUCCGGCCCAGGAGGGCUUAGAUGCCGAC